AACAAGGGACGAGUAAGAAAGACUCUGCA
rnacentral:piRNA from 1 species